rnacentral:rRNA from 1 species
AGCAGCCACGGUAAUUCCAGCUCCAAUAGCGUAUAUUAAAGUUGCUGCAGUUAAAAAGCUCGUAGUUGAAUUUCGGGACCAUCAUGUCGGUCGUGCCUCGGUACGUACUGGCAUUGUUGGUUUCUUCCUUCUGACGAACCAUGAUGUCAUUUAUUUGGUGUCGUGGGAAAUCAGGACUGUUACUUUGAAAAAAUUAGAGUGUUUAAAGCAGGCUCACGCUUGAAUACAUUAGCAUGGAAUAAUGAAAUAGGAUGUUUGAUUCUAUUUUGUUGGUUUUUAGGAUCGACGUAAUGAUUAAUAGGGAUAGUUGGGGGCAUUAGUAUUCAAUUGUCAGAGGUGAAAUUCUUGGAUUUAUUGAAGACUAACUACUGCAAAAGCAUUUGCCAAGGAUGUUUUCAUUAAUCAAGAACGAAAGUUAGGGAUCGAAGACGAUCAGAUACCGUCGUAGUCUUAACCAUAAACUAUGCCGACUAGGAAUCAGAUGAUGUUAAUUUUUUAAUGACUCA